UCCUGUAAAAAGUAUCCAGUGAUAUACUGUAAUUAUUUUUACAGUAAUUAACAAACAAUUUUACAGCACUUUAUGGGCAACUUUUUUGUCUGACAUUUACUGUAAAUUCUACAGGAUAUUUGUUACAGUGCAGGAGUACUUUUGU